rnacentral:rRNA from 1 species
CAGCAGCCACGGGAAUACGAAGGGUGCAAGCGUUAAUCGGAAUUACUGGGCGUAAAGCGUGCGUAGGCGGUGAGUUAAGUCUGCUGUGAAAUCCCCGGGCUCAACCUGGGAACUGCAUUAGUGACUGGCAAGCUAGAGUAUGGCAGAGGGGGGUGGAAUUCCGCGUGUAGCAGCGAAAUGCGUAGAUAUGCGGAGGAACACCGAUGGCGAAGGCAGCCCCCUGGGCCAAUACUGACGCUCAUGCACGAAAGCGUGGGGAGCAAACAGGAUUAGAUACCCCAGUAGUCCCUGUCUCUUAUAC